UUUAGAGUUUGAUCAUGGCUCAGGAUGAACGCCGGCGGUGUGCCUAAUACAUGCAAGUCGAACGCGUUGGCCCAAUUGAUUGAUGGUGCUUGCACCUGAUUGAUUUUGGUCGCCAACGAGUGGCGGACGGGUGAGUAACACGUAGGUAACCUGCCCAGAGGCGG
rnacentral:rRNA from 1 species